UUAAUUCAAAUUUGUAUACGGUUGGAACGUUUGCCUACGUUUGCCGCUAGGGGCGCUGUUCUAACUGCAUAGUAGUUUGACUUA
rnacentral:pre_miRNA from 1 species